GACGAACGCUGGCGGCGUGCUUAACACAUGCAAGUCGAACGGAAAGGCCCUGCUUUUGUGGGGUGCUCGAGUGGCGAACGGGUGAGUAACACGUGAGUAACCUGCCCUUGACUUUGGGAUAACUUCAGGAAACUGGGGCUAAUACCGGAUAGGAGCUCCUGCUGCAUGGUGGGGGUUGGAAAGUUUCGGCGGUUGGGGAUGGACUCGCGGCUUAUCAGCUUGUUGGUGGGGUAGUGGCUUACCAAGGCUUUGACGGGUAGCCGGCCUGAGAGGGUGACCGGCCACAUUGGGCCUGAGAUACGCACCAGACGCCAACGGUAGGCAGCAGUGGGGAGUAUUGCACAAUGGGCGGAAGCCUGAUGCAGAAACGCCGCGUGCGGGAUGACGGCCUUCGGGUUGUAAACCGCUUUCGCCUGUGACGAAGCGUGAGUGACGGUAAUGGGUAAAGAAGCACCGGCUAACUACGUG
rnacentral:rRNA from 1 species